rnacentral:rRNA from 1 species
GACGAACGCUGGCGGCGUGCUUAACACAUGCAAGUCGAACGGAAAGGCCCUGCUUUUGUGGGGUGCUCGAGUGGCGAACGGGUGAGUAACACGUGAGUAACCUGCCCUUGUCUUUGGGAUAACUUCAGGAAACUGGGGCUAAUACCGGAUAGGAGCUCCUGCUGCAUGGUGGGGGUUGGAAAGUUUCGGCGGUUGGGGAUGGACUCGCGGCUUAUCAGCUUGUUGGUGGGGUAGUGGCAUACCAAGGCUUGGACGGGUAGCCGGCCUGAGAGGGUGACCGGCGACAUUGGGACUGAGAUACGGACCAGACGCCUACGGGAGGCAGCAGUGGCGAAUAUUGCACAGUGGGCGCAAGCCUGAUGAGAAGACGCCGGGUGUGGGAUGACGGUCUGCGGGGUAUGAACAGCAUUAGCCUGUGACGAAGCGUGAGUGACGGUAACGAGUGAAGAAGCACCGGCUAACUACGUG